GACGAACGCUGGCGGCGUGCUUAACACAUGCAAGUCGAACGGAAAGGCCCUGCUUUUGUGGGGUGCUCGAGUGGCGAACAGGUGAGUAACACGUGAGUAACCUGCCCUUGACUUUGGGAUAACUUCAGGAAACUGGGGCUAAUACCGGAUAGGAGCUCCUGCUGCAUGGUGGGGGUUGGAAAGUUUCGGCGGUUGGGGAUGGACUCGCGGCUUAUCAGCUUGUUGGUGGGGUAGUGGCUUACCAAGGCUUUGACGGGUAGCCGGCCUGAGAGGGUGACCGGCCACAUUGGGACUGAGAGACGGCCCAGACUCCUACGGGAGGCAGCAGUGGGGAAUAUUGCACAAUGGGCGGAAGCCUGAUGCAGCAACGCCGCGUGCGGGAUGACGGCCUUCGGGUUGUAAACCGCUUUCGCCUGUGACGAAGCGUGAGUGACGGUAAUGGGUAAAGAAGCACCGGCUAACUACGUG
rnacentral:rRNA from 1 species